rnacentral:rRNA from 1 species
CUAGCCGUAAACGAUGGAUACUAGGCGUUGUGAGUAUCGACCCUCACAGUGUCGUAGCUAACGCGUUAAGUAUCCAGCCUGGGGAGUACGCGCGCAAGCGUGAAACUCAAAGGAAUUGACGGGGGCCCGCACAAGCGGUGGAGUAUGUGGUCUAAUUCGAUGCAACGCGAAGAACCUUACCAGGACUUGACAUGUCGCGAAUCUCAGGGAAACUUGAGAGUGCCUUCGGGAGCGCGAACACAGGUGGUGC